GCUCACCUUAGCGCGGCGGUGGAGAAGCUGCCAAGCGUUUGGCUGUUCGCCAAUUAAAAAGGUACGCGAGCUGGGUUCAGACCGUUUGGAAAUUAAUUUUUCUUAAAUUGAUUUUCGGACAGUUUGAACCCUCAGAGGAAUUCAUGAACAAAAUGAACUGUUUUAAUCGAAAACAACCAAUUUGCCAUAAUUAAUUUAUGAGCAAUAUCACGGCGGCGCUUUGUAGAAAUGCAGAGUGGCAAGCUAACUUAUAUCGGUGGAAUCCUAUCGCGCAAGCGAGGACAACGCCGAGGGAAUACUUUACUAAACUAAAGUAGCCCGUAGAGACUGAAUGUUAGCCUUCUACAAAAUUUAUUUUUUUGAAGAAGAUGUCACAGUCCAAUCCCACGAGUAAUCGUGGACGUAGAUGCGUGAGACAGGUUGGUCUCCUAUCUACUGCACUCGUUGAUUCUUGAGAAGAUUUGCUCCUAGUACGAGAGGACCGGAGUGAACUGACCUCUGGUGUACUCUGAAAGCAUCUAAGAGGGAAGCCAGCUUCAAGAUUAGGAAUCGUUAUAGAACCGUGAGAGAUGAUCACGUUGAUAGGCUUUAGGUGUAAGCGGAGCAAUCCGUUGAGCCGAGAAGUACUAAUGUUUCGAUUCCUGUUAAGAA
rnacentral:ncRNA from 1 species